AUAGCCUAUGAAUGGUGGAGGGAAGUGCUAAGGAGGGGCCCUCAUCCAGGCCACCCUGACCUCCCCUCCAACCCUGGAGCAACAGAGUUCUGCCUACCUGCAUGGUAGUUACGGCUUCCAAUGGUUUUGGGGGUGAUGCCAGAGAAGGGCUGGAAGACACACCGGGUGUACUAGUCAAUACAAAUUCCCCCCACCCCCAUCUCUGGGCUCCACCCUGCCCCAACACCCCUCUUCCAUUCCAGAACAUCAGUCCCAUUACCUCCGCCAUGUUGCUGAUGACAAUGGCCAUGAUGAUGCCAUAGAUUGCCACAGCCUCACAGAAGAUGAUGCUGUGGGAUUCAGAAACACAGGAUGGGGGCUCAAGACAGCCCAGAGUUUGGUCCACCUUUCAAAGGCCCACCACCUCCUGGAAGUCGAACCUGACACACUCAGCCCCCCCCCCAAUCCCCUCCUCCUUGCCAACUAGUCUUCCCAGGACAUAGGGAACAGGCACAAAGCAGCAGGAGCCUGGCCAGAAGCUAAUCCAUGAUGCAAAUGCUUUCCUAGGCCACCCCAACUCACCUUACCAAGUUCUUGGUCUUGAUCCUGGGGGCCUUGACCCCUCCACCAAGGAUGGACGAGCCUGUGAUGAAGAUGCCCCUGCGGACAGGUGUGGGAAAGGGAACCACAUCCCAGGAUCUCAGGGAGCCCCACACCACGGAGGGCUUCAUCCUCUCUCAAUAAAGAUGAGAUCACGGGUUGCCCAGAGGUAGCCUGGGUCCAUGGCAGAUGGAACCACCAUGUCAGGGGCUCUGCUGGGCCUGCUUGGGAAUCAAUGGGGGUGGGGUACAAACAGGUAGGUUUUUUAAUGUUUAAAUUCAUUUUUUGAAAUCCUUACUUUCUGUGCCAGUAACAACUUUAAUAUAAAAGAGCAAGGGCUUGGCAGGUUAAGUGACUGGCCCAGGGUCACAUUGCUAGGAGUUGCUGGUUCUUUUAAAGAGAGAGUUCUAGACCACUUGGGCUGUCCUCCCCAGGUGAUUCUACUGCUCGAAGUGUCAGUGGCCCUUGCAGAGGCGGCUCUGAAGCCAUUGGGGGGCAGGCAGCUCUCCCCUGGAACCUACAUGCCCCUCCAUUCACUCCUCUCUUUACCACCUAUGACUUUAGAUUGGAGAGGAGUGAGAUAAAAGCUGGCAGCUGGUGUGGGUUGACCUUGGAGGGACCACAACCUGGCUUUGGAGAGGUGAGAAGAGUGGCUGGGGCUGGUCCUGGUCCUGGCAGUUCUAGCCUGACCUGCUCUAGGUCUCUGUUUACCCAACACAAUGGAAGGGCAGAAUGAGCCCUUAGGUGGCUCAGGGCAGAUCUGACCAGCCCAGGCCUGGGGACUAGAACAAUAAAGGGGAAGUAGUGUCGAGGGUCGGGCUUCCGGGACCUCGGGGAGGCCCAGCAGCCCUUUGCCUUCUACCCCAGAGCAGGCCUAGGAAGCGCCUGAGAAACAAGCAGGGUGGGAGUGGGUGCCUGGUCACGGAGGAUGGGAGAAAGGUGGAUGGGAGAGGGGGAAAAGGCAGGGGAUCGAGGUCAUGACUUCUUGCAAGGGUGCAGAGACAUGAUCUGGAGAGGGACCCAGAGCGCUGACAAGCGGGUGUGUGUGUGUGGUGGGGGGCGAGGCCACGUACACGAUCACGCAGGGAAAGGGUCUAUCAGGGGCUUGAUCUCAAUCGGUUAGGAGGCCAGUCGGCGUGGACACGCUGGGGCAAGGAGCAUAUGGUAGCUGGCACGGACACGAUCCAGAGAGGGCCGUGAGCACCUACGCGGGGAGGGGGUGGGUCGCGGGCACAGACACGAUCACGAAGGGGAAGGGCCUCCUGCGGGCACGAUCUCAAUCGGGAGGGGUCCCGCAGGCACGGACACGCUCAGGGGAGGGUCGCGGGCACGGACAUGCGUACGGAAUGGUCACGGGAGCCGUAGUCACGCGCAGGAUUCACGACACGGUCCGGGGAGCGGUCUCAUGGGACUGGCGCCCCCCGCCCAUGGCCCAGGCCCUGCUCUCACCUAUAAUGACCAUGACACUCCAGAAGGCCAAGAACAGGCAGGAGUAAAGCAACGCGAGUCCCUUCAUGGCGGCGACGGCGCCGGGGUCCGAGGCAAGAGCCGCAGCCGGGGGUCUGGGGUCGCGGUUGGCGGCCGGGACAGAGCGCACUGAGCUCUACCGCCUCCGCCCGCCAGUCCCUGCGCCCGGUCACCUGACGUCACUGCCUCUGCCAUGUGACCGUAGGCUCCGCCCUGCGUCCACCUGACCUGUGGCGCGUCCGGUUCCGCGAUGGCUUCUGGGAGUUGUAGGCAGUCCGAAGAGCGGCUGCCACCUGCCCGGGAUCGAGAAGAGGUAUGUCUGGUGGAAACCGAGACCCGAGCCACCACCCUUCGCACCCCACAGUGCAACACUUCGAGGCCUGUCUGGACAAGGGUAGGUCAGACAGAAGGGUGGGGGGGCACCUAGGUGACUCAGUUCAUGGAGAGCUAGGUCUGGAGACGAAAAUCCAGCUUUCAAAUUUUUACCUCAGACACUGGUGACUAGCUGGGUGACCCUGGACAAGUCACUUAACUCCCAUUGCCUCGCCCUUAACUGCUCUUCUGCCUUGGAGACUAUACACAGUAUUUACUCUAAGACAAAAGAUAAGAGUUUAAAAAUAUAUUUUUUAAAUGCAGAGGAUGGAAAUCUCGUCUCUGAUACUUCCCUAUGGAUUUGGCCCUCAGUUGCAAAGACAUAUAGAAUAUCUACCAAAUGAAUACAAAAUAUUUGGGGGAAAGAGGACUCUAAGGAUAUGGGGGGACCAGAAAAAUUUCAAGCCAAAGAAGUAGGGGAAUACUUGAGCUGAAUCAAGAAGGAGAAGAGGGGUUCUGAGAGGUGGGGGAGCACACCAGGCAAGGGGGAUACCUGGGGCUAAAGUACAAAAAUGAGAAACAGAGGAUCUUGGGUGUGGAACAGCAAGUUAGCCAGUCUGGCUGGAAAUCGGAGCUGGAUGGAGGAGGGUCAAGUGGAAGAAAGGCCAGGUUGAGAAGAACUAGCUGUGUGACCCUGAGCAAGUCACUUAACCCCCACUGCCUUGCCCUUACCACUCUUCUGCCUUAGAACUCAUACUAGUAUUGACUCUAGGACAGAAGGUAAGUUUUUUUAAAAAUCCCUUUUAUCCUGUCUUAUAGCACAAUAGUAUUACAUCACAUUUAAAACUAUAACUUAUUUAAUCAUUCCUCAAUUAAUGGGCAUACCCUCAAUUUCCAGUUCUUUCCCUCCUCAACAAGAGCUAGGUAGAUUGUUGUCCAUCUUUCAUUGGUUUUUGUUUCUUCCGCCUAAUCCCUUUGAAUCUAUCCUCCUUCUAGUUCCCUUCUCUCCUUUCCUUCCCAGUUGCCUGUUGAGGGAAAUGUAUUUCUGUACCAGUGUAUGUAUGUUUAUCCUUUCCUUCUUGUUCUUACAGACCUCUACUGGCACACUAUGAUUAUGUGACAUAAUUUUCCCUAACUGGAAUUCCUUGUUCCUCCCCUCAUUUCAUUCCCUUUCUUCUCCAAGUGUUUUAUUUCUCUUCUCCUCCCUUCCCUUUCUUUAAGGUCAUUAAUGCAGAGCCACAACCAGGCCUUUGGUCUAAUAAGACUCUUUCUCUGACCCUUGAUGAUCGUAGGGUUCAGAUCACAGUGUCUUCUCAUAUUUGAAUAGUAGGAGUUGCAUUCUCUUCUAUUUUUCAAUCUCUUACUUUUGUUCUAAUAUUUCUUGCUGUCUUCUGGUUUCUAUUUGGUCUCUCCUAGAUUUCAGAGAGUCUGUUCCUUAGUGAAGCUUUGCUACUUUUUGUCUAAGCUAUUUAUUCUCUCUCCAUUUUCCUUCUUGAAAAAGUGUUUGCUCCACUUGUCCCUGCAGAAUACUUCUUUGGAAUGCUUCCCUGGAUGGGCACUGAUAAACUGCCUGGUAUAAUAGGAGCACUUUGUUGUGUAGGUGGAAUUUUGUUCUAAUCACACAGAUUCUUCAGGGAAUGAGAGGUUCACUUAAAGUAAACACCAAUAGGAACUUAAUCAAAGUAAAUUAUUUCUCUCUGUUAGUGUUACUUUGUCAGAAUAUAAUUACUCAAAAUGUAAUCUAUGCAUAAAUCAAAGUAAUUAAUACCUCUUUUUAAGUUGCUUCCUUCAUUCCUUCUAUUUAUGUAUGUAGGUGAUCCUUGUGAGAAAUACUUUUUUUUUCCCUUUGAGUUUCCUGCAGUUCUUAUAAGAUUACUUGCUCCUUUUUUGGGGAGAGGAGGGUAAACUCUGGAUCCACAAUAAAUUAUUUUAUAUCAA